GCGGAUAUAGAUGAAUUGGUACAUCAGUAAUUUUCCAAGUUAAAAGUUAUGGGUUCGAGCCCCAUUAUCCGCU
rnacentral:tRNA from 1 species